CGCUCUUGACUCCCAUAAGAGUCCAGCCUGCCCAGUGAUACUAUUAAACGGCCGCGGUACCCUGACCGUGCGAAGGUAGCAUAAUAACUUGUUCUUUAAAUGGGGACUAGCAUGAACGGCAUCACGAGGGUCUCACUGUCUCCUUUUUCUAAUCAGUGAAACUGAUCUUCCCGUGAAGAAGCGGGAAUUAAAAUAUAAGACGAGAAGACCCCAUGGAGCUUUAAACCCAAUAGACACCUCUGACUAAUCUAACCCAUUAUACUUUUUAUAGUUCUGCCUAUUGGUUUUAGGUUGGGGUGACCACGGAGUACAACAGAUCCUCCAUGACGUACGGGACUUCCCUCUUAUCCUUGAACUACACUUCUAAGAAUCAACAAAUUGACGUUUAAUGAUCCAAUAUAUUGAUCAACGAACCAAGUUACCCUGGGGAUAACAGCGCAAUCCAUUUUAAGAGCCCCUAUCGCCAAAUGGGUUUACGACCUCGAUGUUGGAUCAGGGUAUCCUAGUGGUGCAGCCGCUACUGAUGGUUUGUUUGUUCAACAAUUAAAACC
rnacentral:rRNA from 1 species